rnacentral:tRNA from 1 species
UGCUGCUUAAUCUGGAAUUAUAUGCGGACUUUUAAUCCGCAGGUCCCAGGUUCGAGCCCUGGUGGGGCACC